rnacentral:rRNA from 1 species
AACGAACGCUGGCGGCAUGCCUAACACAUGCAAGUCGAACGAGACCUUCGGGUCUAGUGGCGCACGGGUGCGUAACGCGUGGGAACCUGCCCUUAGGUUCGGAAUAACUCCCCGAAAGGGGUGCUAAUACCGGAUAAUGUCUUCGGACCAAAGAUUUAUCGCCUUUGGAUGGGCCCGCGUUGGAUUAGCUAGUUGGUAGGGUAAAAGCCUACCAAGGCGACGAUCCAUAGCUGGUCUGAGAGGAUGAUCAGCCACACUGGGACUGAGACACGGCCCAGACUCCUACGGGAGGCAGCAGUGGGGAAUAUUGGACAAUGGGCGAAAGCCUGAUCCAGCAAUGCCGCGUGAGUGAUGAAGGCCUUAGGGUUGUAAAGCUCUUUCACCCGGGAUGAUAAUGACAGUACCGGGAGAAUAAGCGCCGGCUAACUCCGUG